rnacentral:rRNA from 1 species
AGCUGAUGCAGCAAUGCCGCGUGUGUGACGAAGGCCUUAGGGUUGUAAAGCUCUUUCGCCGGGGAAGAUGAUGACGGUACCCGGAGAAAAAGCCCCGGCUAACUCCGUGCCAGCAGCCGCGGUAAUACGGAGGGGGCGAGCGUUGUUCGGAAUUACUGGGCGUAAAGGGCGUGUAGGCGGCCUUGUCAGUCAGGCGUGAAAUCCCCGGGCUCAACCUGGGACGUGCGCUUGAUACUGCGUGGCUUGAGAGCGAGAGAGGAAAGCGGAAUUCCCAGUGUAGAGGUGAAAUUCGUAUAUAUUGGGAAGAACACCAGUGGCGAAAGCGGCUUUCUGGCUCGUUUCUGACGCUGAGGCGCGAAAGCGUGGGGAGCGAACAGGAUUAAAUACCCUGGUAGUCCACGCCGUAAACGAUGUGUGCUAGACGUCGGGGGUUAGGCCUUCCGUGUCGCAGCUAACGCAUUAAGCACACCGCCCGGGGAGUACGGCCGCAAGGUUAAAACUCAAAG